rnacentral:rRNA from 1 species
UACAGAGGUCUCAAGCGUUGUUCGGAUUCAUUGGGCGUAAAGGGUGCGUAGGUGGCGCCGUAAGUCGGGUGUGAAAUUUCGAAGCUUAACUCCGAAACUGCAUUCGAUACUGCGGUGCUUGAGGACUGGAGAGGAGACUGGAAUUCAUGGUGUGGCAGUGAAAUGCGUAGAGAUCAUGAGGAAGACCAGUGGCGAAGGCGGGUCUCUGGACAGUUCCUGACACUGAGGCACGAAGGCCAGGGGAGCAAACGGG